UUCCGGUUGAUCCCGCCGGACCCUACUGCUAUCGGGGUGGGACUAAGACAUGCAAGUCGAGCGCCUCGAGCUAUGACGAGGCGCGGCGUACGGCUCAGUAACACGUGGCUAACCUGCCCUUAGGACGGAUACAAUCCCGGGAAACUGGGGCUAAUAUUCGAUAGGUGAGGAAGGCCUGGAAUGGUUCUUCAUCAAAAGGAUUUUGGAAUCAUGCUUUCCAACAUCGCCUAAGGAUGGGGCCGCGCCCGAUCAGGUUGUUGGUGAGGUAACGGCUCACCAAGCCUAUAACCGGUACGGGCCGUGAGAGCGGUAGCCCGGAGAUGGGUACUUAGACAAGGGCCCAGGCCCUACGGGGCGCAGCAGUCGCGAAAACUCCGCAAUGCGCGAAAGCGUGACGGGGCUACCCCGAGUGCCGUCCGCUGAGGAUGGCUUUUUCUUGGUGUAACGAGCUAGGGGAAUAAGGAGAGGGCAAGUCUGGUGUCAGCCGCCGCGGUAAUACCAGCUCUCCGAGUGGUAGGGAUGACUAUUGGGCUUAAAGCGUUCGUAGCCGGCUUAGCAAGUCUCCUGUUAAAUUCAGCGACUUAAUCGUUGAGCCGCGGGGGAUACUACUAGGCUAGGAGGCGGGAGAGGCCGACGGUAUUCUCGGGGUAGGGGUGAAAUCCUAUAAUCCCGGGAGGACACCAGUGGCGAAGGCUGUCGGCUAGAACGCGCUCGACGGUGAGGGACGAAAGCUGGGGGAGCGAACCGGAUUAGAUACCCGGGUAGUCCCAGCUGUAAACGAUGCGGGCUAGGUGUUGGAGUGGCUAAGUGCUACUUCAGUGCCGCAGGGAAGCCAUUAAGCCCGCCGCCUGGGGAGUACGGCCGCAAGGCUGAAACUUAAAGGAAUUGGCGGGGGAGCACCACAAGGCGUGAAGCUUGCGGUUCAAUUGGAUUCAACGCCGGG
rnacentral:rRNA from 1 species